GGAUCUGUGGCGCAAUGGUAGCGUGUCUGACUCCAGAUCAGAAGGUUGCGUGUUCGAUUCACGUCAGGUUCA
rnacentral:tRNA from 1 species